rfam:Salmo salar isolate Sally breed double haploid chromosome ssa17, whole genome shotgun sequence.
AGAUAUCAAAGAUAUAAGUCGCUCUGGAUAAGAGCGUCUGCUAAAUGACGUAAA